rnacentral:rRNA from 1 species
UACGAAGGGGGCUAGCGUUGCUCGGAAUCACUGGGCGUAAAGCGCACGUAGGCGGAUUGUUAAGUCGGGGGUGAAAUCCUGGAGCUCAACUCCAGAACUGCCUUCGAUACUGGCGAUCUUGAGUCCGGGAGAGGUGAGUGGAACUCCGAGUGUAGAGGUGAAAUUCGUAGAUAUUCGGAAGAACACCAGUGGCGAAGGCGGCUCACUGGCCCGGUACUGACGCUGAGACGCGAAAGCGUGGGGAGCAAACAGG